GCCGGGGUGGCGGAAUUGGUAGACGCGCAGCCUUGAGGAGGCUGUCUCCGUUAUUGGAGGUGGAGGUUCAAGUCCUCUCCCCGGCA
rnacentral:tRNA from 1 species